rnacentral:rRNA from 1 species
AGAGUUUGAUCAUGGCUCAGGACGAACGCUGGCGGCGUGCUUAACACAUGCAAGUCGAACGAUGAAGCUCCAGCUUGCUGGGGUGGAUUAGUGGCGAACGGGUGAGUAAUACGUGAGUAACCUGCCCCCUUCUUCGGGAUAAGCCUUGGAAACGGGGUCUAAUACUGGAUAUUCUGCACUGGACGCAUGUUUGGUGUUGGAAAGGGUUUCUGGUGGGGGAUGGGCUCACGGCCUAUCAGCUGGUUGGUGGGGUGAUGGCCUACCAAGGCGUCGACGGGUAGCCGGCCUGAGAGGGUGACCGGCCACAUUGGGACUGAGAUACGGCCCAGACUCCUACGGGAGGCAGCAGUGGGGAAUAUUGCACAAUGGACGCAAGUCUGAUACAGCGACGCCGCGUGGGGGAUGAAGGCUUUCGGGUUGUAAACUCCUUUUAACACUGAACAAGGCGUUUUUGUUGAGGGUAGGUGUUGAAUAAGCGCCGGCUAACUACGUGCCAGCAGCCGCGGUAAUACGUAGGGCGCGAGCGUUGUCCGGAAUUAUUGGGCGUAAAGAGCUCGUAGGCGGUUUGUCGCGUCUGCUGUGAAAGACCGGGGCUUAACUCCGGGGCUGCAGUGGGUACGGGCAGACUAGAGUGCGGUAGGGGUAAUUGGAAUUCCUGGUGUAGCGGUGGAAUGCGCAGAUAUCAGGAGGAACACCGAUGGCGAAGGCAGGUUACUGGGCCGUUACUGACGCUGAGGAGCGAAAGCAUGGGGGAGCGAACAGGAUUAGAUACCCUGGUAGUCCAUGCCGUAAACGUUGGGGCACUAGGUGUGGGGGCCUAUUUCCAUGGGUUUCUGUACCGUAGCUAACGCAUUAAGUGCCCCGCCUGG